rnacentral:rRNA from 1 species
UACGGAGGGGGCUAGCGUUGUUCGGAUUCAUUGGGCGUAAAGCGCUUUAAGGCGGUUCGGUAAGUCGGGUGUGAAACCUCCAGGCUCAACCUGGAGACGCCACUCGAUACUGCUGUGACUAGAGUUCGGUAGGGGAUCACGGAAUUCCUGGUGUAGCGGUGAAAUGCGCAGAUAUCAGGAGGAACACCGGUGGCGAAGGCGGUGAUCUGGGCCGACACUGACGCUGUAGAGCGAAAGCGUGGGGAGCGAACAGG